rnacentral:tRNA from 1 species
GGGCAGGUAGCGCAGUUGGUAGAGCGCCGGAUUUAUAAUCUGGUGGUCGCGGUUCGAACCCCGUUCUGUCCA